UACGGGGGGUGCGAGCGUUGUUCGGAUUUACCGGGCGUAAAGGGCGCGUAGGCGGCCACCGCAAGUCGACUGUGAAAUCUCCGGGCUUAACCCGGAAAGGUCAGCCGAUACUGCGGGGCUAGAGUGCAGAAGGGGCAACUGGAAUUCUCGGUGUAGCGGUGAAAUGCGUAGAUAUCGAGAGGAACACCUGCGGCGAAGGCGGGUUGCUGGGCUGACACUGACGCUGAUGUGCGAAAGCUAGGGGAGCGAACGGG
rnacentral:rRNA from 1 species